AUGUACGUGGGCCCAGUUGACUAUGAUACAUAUUCCCCUCUAUGCAUGAGGGAAGUAGCACUGAUCGAUGCUGCCAUGCGAAUUAUCUUCCUACACAUUUUUGAAGAACUAGUUGAACGCCAUUGGAAUGAACUUCUUUCUGCUGAAGCAAAUGUUGGCUUAAUCAUGGCAACCUCGAUGAAGGUUCAUCAACUAUCCAGUGUGCAUGAUCAAGUUCGUGAUGACUUGUCUUUCCGUGAUGCUAUCAAGAAUGAAGUUCUUCUUAGGAAGGAUGCCCGCAAACAAGACGAUGUGGAUAACUCACUUGUCCCCAAGAUAACCGCGACUGAAGUAGACUUUUGCUCUGGUCAAUCUUCCCCCGUGAAGCAAAAUUUCAAAUAUAUAAGGGGUGAUGAGCGUCCACCAAUCAACGUCAACAAGAAGGAUCAAUUGGACUAG
rnacentral:rRNA from 1 species